GGCUCUCUAAACAAAACCCUCAAAUCACAGCUAAAACCAUACAAGAACCAGACAACCGCAGCGGCACACCCACAACCUCAAAUCGGCGGCGCUUCUUCUCAUCCAAUCCAACUCGUCGGCGUCGCUCCCUAGUUUCGUCUCUUCCAAUCCAUCCUCAAAUCGGCGACGCACUCAUAUCCAAUCCAACUCGGCGGCGCUUCAACUCUUCCCGUACGACUUGGCGGCGCUUCUUUUCUGCCAUUCUAAAUCGGCAGAACCACCCACAAUCUUCAGGCAUGAUAUAAUUGCUCAAAUAUAUUAUGCAAGGAGACUUUCAGAGAAGCUGCAUCCUGUUGCUAGAAUGAUAGAACUUCAUGGAGGUCAUCUAGCGAGCCAUGAGAGGACCGAAGAGGUCAAUCAAGCAAUUCUUGAAUUAAUCAAGGCAUUAGAAGUGAGUAUCAAUCCUAAUGAAUGGACUAAUUUGCCAAAGAAAAAGUCUGGUAAGUAUUCCACAUUGAAGACAAAAGCCUCUCUUUCUUCCUUUGAUUGGAUUGACAUCAUGACCUUUAGCUGUAGCUCAGGAGUCAUUAUCCAAUACUAUCAGAGCACCACAAUCCCUACUUACAUAAAAUAGGGCCUUGCAUGUGAGUUCACAGAUAGGAGUAGGACAGAUAUGCAAGUAAAUAGGAAGUAUAGUGCUGUAGGAGUGCCCAAUAAUUCCUUAUAGCACUUAGAAAGUUAGAAGUACAUUCUAGUUUUAGCCCUACAGCCAUUGCAUAUCAAUAUUGUGGAUAAAGUGAUCUAGAAAUAUAACCUAAUGUCAGGAAAUUCACUGCACCGGAAUUUCUUAACUAUAACUAUAAUUCUAGAUUUCAGUAUGCUGUGAUAAAACUAGCUCAACUGCUAACCAGGGUUAUUGCUCGGAGUAUACCAUAAUAAGAGCUUAUCCAUCAUAGCUUCAGGGUGUAACCAAGUUGAACUAAGACGAGCUAUGUUUUAUGAUAUUGAAUGUUGGGCUAUUAAUAAGUAACAUUUUCAUAAAAUGAGACUUUUUGUUGUUGUAUCUCAUAAAAUUAACCUCAAUAGACUAGUUGAACAACUUUUGAUGAAUCUAACUACUGACCAAAACACUGCUGUUACUUAAAUCAUAAGUAACAAACUAACAAUAACCAAAUCACAUAUGCAGUAUAAAAUUCUACAUUCUAUUUUGAAAUCAUGUGUUGAUACAUGUUGCUUUUU